ensembl:lncRNA
AUGGAGACUGCUGCGACCUCCAGGCCGGCGGCGGGCAGCGCUGCUCUGCUAGGGAUCAAUGUGACACUUUCUUCAAGGCCUGCCUCAAGGAGUACCAGGCCCGGGUCGUCCCAUCUGGGCCCUGCACCUUCGGGUUGGGCAGCACGGGGAUCCUGGGUGGAAACUCCCAGUCGCUCCGUCACAGAGGGCACGACGGAGGAGGACGGGGAGAGGACGGGGCUAUCGGACACAUUGUCAUUCCCUUCAAAUACGCAUGGCCGAAGUCCUUUUCUUUGGUGUUGGAGGCUCUGGACUAUGACAACGACACGUCAGAAUCAGGUGAGGAUGCAGUGUGUGUGUUUGUGUGUGUGCGCGCGUCUGUAUGCCUUUCUAACCACUUGUCAAUGUUUAGAAUGUGUAUGUUAUUAUCUUCGUAUUAUCCUUAUUAUCUAUUUAGCCAAAAUUAAAUUGAUUGAACUGAUUUCAUGCUUUUUCGGGACUAUAAUUGCCACCAUCUAUGUAUGUUUGGUCAAUCUGGUUUUAAAGGGCAUCACUUAGCUUUUAGCAUGAAUAGCUCCUUUAUGAUUGUAUGUAACCUUGAUGAUGUGGAAUAACACCUGAGCUAGAUUUUUUCAAUUGUGGAGGAAAGAAACAAAAACCCAAGCUUGGCUUUACAUCAGCUACGGCCAGCUCUCACCGCACAUCUGCUAGCGCCAACUAGUUUGGUUUUUCAGCUGUUUUAUUGAUCCUGGAAUGUUUUUCUUUUUUGUAAUUCUUUUACACCAAUAAAUAAGCUUUAGCUGAGACCCGAUUUAAUCAGCCUGAGUGCAAUCAAGGCCGUUGAUUUCUCACUUUUUUAUUAUACAUUUCUAUGGUAUAAUUAUUUUAAUAUGCUAUUCAUUGGCCUAAAUAUGUUGUAGCUGUAACUUUGGUCAGGCAGUAUACUAACUUUUAUUUAAACGUAAUUGUCAUCGGGCAACCUAAUCCUUGGCCGCUUGUUUACGGAUAUGCGUUGUUCAACAUGGUGAAGCGAUGUGAAAAGUUUCCGAACGGGUCUUUUGACCAGACCCUUUAAUUUCCUGCUCGCCUCCUUGUUGCUUCUCUUCAUAAUCGGGAAAAGCUCCAUGACCGAGUAUGUGAGCUGCAUGCUAUAAAAAGCAACACACACACACACACACACACACACACACAUAGAUGGAGACAGAUGUGUCUGGGCCUUUCUCAUUCCUGCCAUACCACAGUCCUCUCCUUCAUCCCACCAUCAUCUACCUCCGUCUCAGCCGUUCAUAUCCAAAAGAUCCAAAAAUUGGCCAAGAUAAUGAGAAAUAAGAAAGUGGGAACGACCCUCCUCCCUCCCUGUGAGUUUGUGUCUCCCGUCCUUCGCCCUUCAGCGCUGCUCCUACAUCUUGUUUGCAUUAUCAGUCCUAUUCACCUGAGCUCCGUACAGCCUUUACAUCGGGUCUUAAGCCGUUCGCCGGGCGGGCAGCUUAACUCGGCCCAAACAGAAGCAUCUCGCACCAGUCUCACCGGACUUAUAGGGACCGACUGCCAAUCAGAGAGGAUUACCGAGCACAACUGUACGUUCUGAAACAGACCUUGGAAAUGGUGAGAAAAUAUGAUGUCCCUUGAGCACCGACAGUGUGACCUUCGCCGAGUCUUGUUAAAAUAACAUGUGGAGGGGCGGGCCUUUUGUUUUGUGUAUGAUUCCAGUUUUAAAACAUAUUUCCACAUUUUGGUGUUUCAUUUAAAUGUUGUGCAAUUGCAAGAUCUGAGUAAACCAAAGCUGUCAAGCAUAAUUAAAGCAGCCAGAUCAUCAAAACCCCUUCAUUUGGAAGUUAUUCCUCAUUGCCCGCAACAAUUGUGCACACAAAGCUACAUUAAAGGGGCUAAACAAGGAUUUAUUUUUUGAUAACGUUGUUUGGGCUUCUGUGACUUCCUCCUUUGGCCCUGACAAAACGCCAGCGCCAUGAAGGGUGUCGCAGUUUGACGAGUCGUACCUCUCACUAAAAGGGACGGGCGUCACUGCAUCCAAGCUCUGUUAGUGGCCUAAAACCUCCACACAGAAUACUUUUAACUUUUAGUAAUAAAACAGAGGGAUCUUAAAAACGCAUUUUGUCGCCGUUUCCUAAUUGCCGUUGCUCAUUUAUGGGGCUACUUGGAGUGCAGAUUUGCUGCUGUGUUCACGUGGGGGAAUCAAUUGUGUUGGCGUAGCACCAACAGCCACAAAUUGCCGACCUUCGAUGGAGAGAAAGGGAAAUUCAAUAAAAUAAUCAAAACAAUAUUAUCCUCCAAAAAUUCAACUUGUGUUGACUUAGUGUUUUCAUUCAGAUUAGAAUCAUCUCAUCGCAACAGUCAAAAACAAAAAUCGGGCCGCUCUGAGAAUCACCCUCAAAUCUAAGAGGGACACAAACACCAUCCAGCUGAUUUAUUUGCUUCCAUAGAUCUACUGUAUUGAUUUGUGGCUUCUGCCGAUGUGGAAAGGCCGGCAGAAGGAAGCGCUUUCUCCCCUGCAGUGUUUUCUCAGCCGAUGUUAAGGGCAGGCAGCGGCUAACAAUCACAGGAGGCCAGAGAAAGGGAUUUAAGUGUUAUGCUACCUGCAGAGAGUUCCUGCGUGUCCGCUACUUAUAUUGACUCUGCUUUCCGGUCACUGCAACAGGGCUUCUUGUUGCUGCUGUUUCUUUGCCAUCUACUAUUCACCCUGCUUGCCAUUCGUCUUCCAACUUAUGCUCACUUGUAAUGUAAUCACAUUAGAGAGGAAAUCUCAUUCUGUUUCACACCUUCCCUGCUGUGCCGGCUGUUAGUGUGGUUAUUUUUUUCUUCUCCUCACAUCGGCUGUUCCCUGUCAGAGAAAUUCUGGUGACGAUGGAAUUGGCUCUUUGACAUGGCAGAGUCGUAAAAUAAGCACGGCAGUAGCGUGAUGAGCGUUUAGAAAAGUGAACCCUUGUGUCGACUGCAUGCAGAGGGGCGAUGGAGCUGAGCUAACGUGCUGCUCAGCGUCGGCCUUUUGCCAUCCUCUCUUAAACACACACUCGGGCCCCGAAACACUCACACAGACACAAACACAUUCACAGCGGCCGCUGUGUCACUCUGUUUUCAUUCCUUUGUGUCAAACUGCAGUGACCUCAUCUCCCCAUCAGGCCGUUUGCUAUGUCUGUGCGCUAUUAGCUACUUCCCUUCCUCUUUGACUCUGUCAAACGUGCACAAACACAAACACACACACAGAUAACACCCAGAGGAGAUCAUAACUGAGUUGGAGAUGACGGCGCCUCUGGGAAAUCCCCUCUGGGGGUCAGGAGCAGCAGCGCCGCCCCGGGCCUCCUCUGGUCCUCCUCUGGUCCUCCUCUGGUGUUUAGGACGCCCCUGUUCCCACAGUGUGGGCUUCUAGUCUGCAUCAGUAUUCAUGAUGGAACUUCAGUUUGCUUCCUGCAGCCUCGCUGCCUGCUCAAGUGCCGUGAUGCCAAUUGAUGUACCUGUAUGUACCCGGACCAAAACACCCAUAUGUGUGAAAAUGCAUCUUACUCUUAAUUUUGACCUGUCCUCCGCAACAUUCCUCUGUUCCAGAUAAUACAUAAUCCCAGCUUCACAUCAUUAUGUAGAAAGGAAAACUCUUUUCACAACACAGACAUUUGAAUUGCAUGUGUUUACUUGCCUAAAAUAGCUGUCAGUGCUAAGUGGUAACUUUACUGCUGCACUUCAUGUGAUGGGGGGGGGGGGCUACCCACACCCACUCUGCAGCUCCCCUCCCUUUAGCAUAUCAUUAUAGUAUUGGUUUAGUAUAAACACGCUCAUCAGUAUUGUUUCCUGCAUUAGGGAGCUGUUAUUACUGAAUAAGCUCUAAAUUUUAAUUGUACAAUA